GAGGGGGUGUGCUCACGAGGGGUGUGCUCACGAGGGGGUGUGCUCACGAGGGGUGUGCUCACGAGGGGGAGUGCUCACGAGGGGGAGUGCUCAUGUGGGGGGUGUGCUCACGAAGGGGAGUGCUCACGAGGGGGAGUGCUCAGGAAGGUUUGCUCACGAGGGGGAUGCUCACGAGGGAGUGCUCACGAGGGGUGUGCUCACGAGGGGUGUGCUCAUGAGGGGGAGUGCUCACCAGGGGGAGUGCUCA